UGACACUAUUUUUCUUAAAGCUGCAGAGCUGAUAUAUGUAUAGCCUACUGAUAAAAUAAUACUUUCUGAUUGUUUUCUUCUUACAGAUUAAUUAUCUCAAUCAUCACUUAACUAUAUCUCCCAAUUUAAGUGCAAUUUUAAUUUGAAGUGAACCCUUCAAAAAAAAUGAAUCCCUAAAUAUCAAGUGUUUUAAACAAACUAAAUUUAAAUCCUAUAUCUAAUCUUUCUUUCAUUAAAAAAAAAAGUUUCCAGUCAUUUAAGUCAAAAUUGGACCUUCCAAAUGGAGUUGCUGUGUACCUAUUUCCAUCCUUAAACCACACAUUUGGCUCCCAAAUCAAGUAAUUAUGUGUACAAAGGGAUCUGGGAAGUGCAAUCACUUCACUGGCACAUUUUUUCACCCUCCAGAGAGGAUAUUUGCUCCAUUGUGUCCAGGAUCAGCCAGACCAGGGACUUGAAAUGUGAACCUGUUUUCUGAACGUACCUGAAGGGGAAAAUCUGCCUUGGAGAAAUCAAGCUGAUAUUCAGGGGUGUCACUUCAUUUUAGUUAUUUGACAGCCUGAAGAAGUGUUUAAUUUUCUAAAUAACGUUACAAACCAAACUAAAGGGAAAACAUGUGGUAUAAAGCUUUUCAACAUUGUCCGUCUUCUGACGGGUGAAGUCUUCUUGAGAAAGUACCUUUGCCCAAUAAUACUGCUCCUCGGCCAAGAGUUGUAAUGUCCAUGGACAUUAUAAGGAACUAUAAAUGUUAGAAGGCUAGAGGAAUACAUUUGGCAAGAUAAAGGAAAAUAUCUCAGGAUGUAAGUAGUCUCUGACCCUUAAUUUUUCUUCAUGUUUUAUCAUGUAAAGAUGGCAUUACUUAUAGUGACUGUUAAU
rnacentral:lncRNA from 1 species